CCUACGGGAGGCUGCAGUAGGGAAUCUUUCACAAUGGGCGAAAGCCUGAUGGAGCAACGCCGCGUGCAGGAUGAAGGCCUUCGGGUUGUAAACUGCUUUUAUAAGCGAGAAAUAUGAUGGUAACUUAUGAAUAAGGAUCGACUAACUACGUGCCAGCAGCCGCGGUCAUACGUAGGAUCCGAGCAUUAUCCGGAGUGACUGGGUGUAAAGAGUUGCGUAGGUGGGAUAAUAAGUAGCUAGUGAAAUCUGGUGGCUCAACCAUUCAGUCUAUUAGCUAAACUGUUAAGCUCGAGACCGUUAGGGGUAACUGGAAUUUCUAGUGUAGGAGUGAAAUCCGUAGAUAUUAGAAGGAACACCAAUAGCGUAGGCAGGUUGCUGGGACGGUUCUGACACUAAGGCACGAAAGCGUAGGGAGCAAACGGGAUUAGAUACCCUUGUAGUC
rnacentral:rRNA from 1 species